GUACUUUUAUGCAGCGGGUUCUUUACACUGUGCACCAUCAGUAUGAGAGCAGGAGACCAGCAUAUGACAAGCACUGCUAGCACCAAAACCAAAGUUUUGGCAAGACUGAUGUCGAUCCUUAAUCUAAUAUUUCCACGAUCUGUUGACUUGUUAUAGGUCUCCAUACACAGUGAAUGUUGGUGAACCUUCCACAAGAUAAGUGCAUAGGAAA